GCGGGUAUAGUUCAAUGGUAGAACCUCAGCUUCCCAAGCUGAUGAUGCGGGUUCGAUUCCCGCUACCCGCUCCA
rnacentral:tRNA from 1 species